GACGUAAUGCAGGAUAUACUAAA
rnacentral:snRNA from 1 species